ensembl:snRNA U6 U6 spliceosomal RNA
GUGCUUGCUUUGGGAGCAUGUAUACUAAAUUGGAACAAUACAGUGAAGAUUAGCGUGGUCCCAAUGCAAGGAUGACAUGCAGAUUUGUGAAGUGUUCCAUAUUUUU